AAGCGUGGAAUAAUGCCAAAGAGUUGAUGCAUGAGAGCUCACAAGCUUAAUUUCAAACUUCUUGGAUAAGAUGAAUCAUCGCCAACCAAUAAAAAAUUGGUAAAAAUUGUCACGAGACAGAGCUGAUGAAACACAAAAACAAAGGAAUUGUAAGUUGAGAGAGCAAGGCAAGAAGAAGAAGCAUGUCCUCAACAACAAAAGUAGCGGUCCCAAAUGUUGUCCUGCAAUCAUCAAUCAGCAUGCCCGUGAUAGGCCUAGGCACUGCGGCCGAAUCCAACGACGGAGAAGCCAUCAAACAGGCGGUGAUAGAGGCCAUCAAGGUCGGUUACAGGCACUUUGACACUGCUUCUGCUUAUGAGUCUGAGCAGGCUUUGGGAGAAGCCAUCGCUGAAUCCCUUAAACUUGGUCUAAUUGGCUCAAGGGAUGAGCUUUUUAUCACUUCCAAGUUAUGGUUACCUGAUAACCAUCCCCACCUUGUUCUUCCUGCUCUACAAAAAUCACUUGAGACUCUUAGAUUAGAUUACUUAGAUCUGUACUUGGUCCACUGGCCCAUGAGUGCCAAGCCUGGAACAUGGAAAGUUCCUUUUGAACAAGAGGAUUUGGUACCAUUUGACUUAAAGGGUGUAUGGACUUCAAUGGAAGAAUGUCAGAACAUGGGUCUUACAAAAUCAAUUGGAGUCAGCAACUUUUCUACCAAGAAACUUGAAGAUCUCCUCUCUUUUGCAACAAUUCCUCCUUCUGUUAAUCAAGUUGAGAUGAAUGCUUCCUAGCAACAAAAGAAUCUAACAGAAUACUGCAAAGCCAAGGGUAUAAUUAUAACUGCAUAUUCUCCUUUGGGAGCCCAAGGGACCCGUUGGGGUAGUAACGAUGUUAUAGAUAGUGAAUUUGCUCAAGGACAUUGCACAAGUUCAUGGAAAAACUGUUGCUCAGGUAAGUUUAAGAUGGUUAUACGAGCAAGGUGUGACUAUUGUGGUGAAGAGUUACAAUAAGGAAAGAAUAAAACAAAAUUUAGACAUAUUUGAUUUUUCACUUACAAAUGAUGAUUACCAAAAGAUUAGGCAAAUCCAGCAGGAGUGCAAGGUGAAGAACGGCCCUGCAGGAUUCGAUGUCAUAGAUCUAUGGGAUGGAGAAAAUUAGUAGUUUAUAUAUUUCUUUGAGUUCCAUGUUAAUGACUUAUUUCGAUAGUCCUUGCGAAAAGCCUUUAUAUGUUUAAUAGAGGGACGACUAAUCUCCCAAAGUAUCUGUGAUUUCUGACUUUACAUACCACAGUUCCAGCGUAUUUUUUGUGUUAA